GAUGAACGCUGGCGGCGUGCCUAAUACAUGCAAGUCGAGCGAACAGACGAGGAGCUUGCUCCCCUGACGUUAGCGGCGGACGGGUGAGUAACACGUGGAUAACCUACCUAUAAGACUGGGAUAACUUCGGGAAACCGGGGCUAAUACCGGAUAAUAUAUUGAACCGCAUGGUUCAAUAGUGAAAGACGGUUUUGCUGUCACUUAUAGAUGGAUCCGCGCCGCAUUAGCUAGUUGGUAAGGUAACGGCUUACCAAGGCAACGAUGCGUAGCCGACCUGAGAGGGUGAUCGGCCACACUGGAACUGAGACACGGUCCAGACUCCUACGGGAGGCAGCAGUAGGGAAUCUUCCGCAAUGGGCGAAAGCCUGACGGAGCAACGCCGCGUGAGUGAUGAAGGUCUUCGGAUCGUAAAACUCUGUUAUUAGGGAAGAACAAAUGUGUAAGUAACUAUGCACGUCUUGACGGUACCUAAUCAGAAAGCCACGGCUAACUACGUG
rnacentral:rRNA from 1 species